UACAGAGGGUGCGAGCGUUAAUCGGAAUUACUGGGCGUAAAGCGCACGUAGGCGGCUUGGUAUGUCGGGUGUGAAAUCCCCGGGCUCAACCUGGGAACUGCAUCCGAAACUGCCUUGCUCGAGUAUGGGAGAGGGAUGCAGAAUUCCAGGUGUAGCGGUGAAAUGCGUAGAUAUCUGGAGGAAUACCGGUGGCGAAGGCGGCAUCCUGGACCGACAUUGACGCAUGAACGGCGAAAGCUAGGGGAGCAACGGG
rnacentral:rRNA from 1 species